UACGUAGGGUGCAAGCGUUGUCCGGAAUUACUGGGCGUAAAGCGUACGCAGGCGGCUUUGCAAGACAGGUGUGAAAUCCCCGGGCCUAACCUGGGAACUGCAUUUGUGACUGCAUAGCUAGAGUUUGUCAGAGGGGGGUGGAAUUCCACGUGUAGCAGUGAAAUGCGUAGAUAUGUGGAGGAACACCGAUGGCGAAGGCAGCCCCCUGGGAUGUGACUGACGCUCAUGUACGAAAGCGUGGGGAGCAAACAGG
rnacentral:rRNA from 1 species